rnacentral:lncRNA from 1 species
UCACUGGCAUCAGCCUUCCCCUUCAGUCUCCCUCGGAUGCUUUCUUUCCCAUAGAUAUCCAAAAAAGAUAAAGAAAUCCCUGCUCUCCUCGCUGCCACCUCCCGUCGGUUUCCAUUGUCGCCUUCCUCUCCAUCGUCACCGAUGUCAAGCUUUCCUUCCAAUCUCCAUCGAGUGCUUUUCUUCACAUAGAUCUUCGAAAAAGAGAAAGAAAUGAAAAGAAAAAAAAAUAAAAAACUUCUUCUUU